rnacentral:rRNA from 1 species
CAUGAGUGGCGGACGGGUGAGUAACACGUGGGCAACCUGGCCUGUACAGGGGGAUAACACUUAGAAAUAGGUGCUAAUACCGCAUAACGGGAGAAGCCGCAUGGCUUUUUCCUGAAAACUCCGGUGGUACAGGAUGGGCCCGCGUCUGAUUAGCUUGUUGGCGGGGUAGGGGCCCACCAAGGCGACGAUCAGUAGCCGGCCCGAGAGGGUGGACGGCCACAUUGGGACUGAGACACGGCCCAAACUCCUACGGAAGGCAGCAG